GUGGCAGUCCCCGGAGUCACAGGGAGCUCACUGCCACAACCUGGCUCUUUGCAGGAGGGUCCAACUCCAGGCAGGGGAUUGCUGACUGAGGUACCUCUUCAGGGUCCUGAGUGUGGCUCCUGGACCAUCCCUUUCCCACUCCUAUUCCAUCCCCUUGCACCACGAUGAUGGCAAAGGAAAAGAAAAGGGUCCUCCCUCCCAGGUGGUCUGUUUCCCAGUGGCAGGGGAGCUACAGUACACAAGCACAGGCUCGCAUUUAUGAAGCAGCCAGUAAGAAUUCCCAACCUUGAAACCAGAAGGUGUCGGAGGGGAUUGAGAUAAGCCGACCCAAGAAAAGAACAAGAUCUUUCUAUGCACUGAAGGUCACCAAAUCAAAGACAGAAGUGCUCGACCAUUAUGGCCUAUGACAAAAGUUAGGCUGGCUGAAGCAUCCUUCUCUUCUAUCUAGAACCCUGGUGGGGUCCCUUAGACCACCACUGGGCCAUCCUCUUCCUUGCACAGAGACAGAGUUCUGGGCUGCGCCAUGGAGGCGUCUGUCAGCACGGCCGUCUGGUGGUCCUCGUUCUCCGGAAAAGCAGCUGCUCCGUGUGACAUGACUACAUCCCCACAGCGGCCUGCUAUUCAGCUGGGCUGACUGACAUCAGAGCACAGGCUUGGAAGGCCACCCUCUCAGACAGGUCUACCAAGAAGCUCACUGAGAGGUGACACACAUGGCCAAGGAAUAUGAAAAAAAGGUCAGUGCCCUUCUUGCAAAUUGAAGCAGGAAACCAUUUUUCAUCUACAAGGCUGAUAAAGAUGAGAUGUUCUGCUAAUCCAGGAAGAGUAUCAGGAAACUGUCACUCAAAGGACUGUAGGUGAAAUGUAAUUGAUACAGCUACUUUGGAGGGCAAAGAUAUCUUUCAAAAUUUAAAUGACAGGGAUAGCAGUAUUAGAGGCGGGAGAUAAAGAAUCUGGGUUUCUUUUAGGGGUGAUGAAAAUGUUCUAAAACGGAUUGUGGUGACAGUUUCCCACGACUCUGAAUAUACUGAAAACCACCAAACUGUACACUUGGGUGGGUCGUAUAGCAGAUGAAUUAUAUCUCAAUAAAAUUUUUACCAAAAGA